GCCGGGAUAGCUCAGUUGGUAGAGCAGGGGACUGAAAAUCCUCGUGUC
rnacentral:tRNA from 38 species